rnacentral:rRNA from 1 species
GUUUGAUCCUGGCUCAGAUUGAACGCUGGCGGCAUGCCUUACACAUGCAAGUCGAACGGCAGCGCGGGAGCAAUCCUGGCGGCGAGUGGCGAACGGGUGAGUAACAUAUCGGAACGUGCCCUGGAGUGGGGGAUAACUAGUCGAAAGAUUAGCUAAUACCGCAUACGAUCUACGGAUGAAAGUGGGGGAUCCGCAAGGACCUCAUGCUCGUGGAGCGGCCGAUAUCUGAUUAGCUAGUUGGUGGGGUAAAAGCCUACCAAGGCGACGAUCAGUAGCUGGUUUGAGAGAACGACCAGCCACACUGGGACUGAGACACGGCCCAGACUCCUACGGGAGGCAGCAGUGGGGAAUUUUGGACAAUGGGGGCAACCCUGAUCCAGCAAUGCCGCGUGUGUGAAGAAGGCCUUCGGGUUGUAAAGCACUUUUGUCAGGGAAGAAACGGUGGAGGCUAAUAUCCUUUGCUAAUGACGGUACCUGAAGAAUAAGCACCGGCUAACUA